GAAUGUUUUCACUUCCCACCCACCGCUUUGCCCAGCUCCUCACUGUCCUUGGACUUCCCUGGAGAAUGUAGAACUGAUGUGCACUGUUGGCUCCUGUUGUGCUGCACAGGCCUCCGGUAUUACAAAUGGAACUCAAGGAUUAGUCUUUGUGACUCGUGAGGUGACUACACUAACACCUGGUGUUGAUAAGAUGGCAUGAAAACAGCCAGCUCUGGAAGUCGGGCUGGAGCCAUGGCUCAGAAGUGAGUAGUGCUUGCUGCUCUUCCGGAGGACCCGAGCUGGGUUACCAGCACCCAUGUUCUGCAGAUCACAGUCUUUGCUAACUCCAGAUCCAGGGCUUCUAACCCCCUCUUCCGGCCUCCAUGUACCGUACCUUUACUCAUGUGCCUGACAUCCUCCCACACAUACUUAAUGAAAAAUAAGAAUUCAAUCUUUAAUAA
rnacentral:lncRNA from 1 species